ensembl:lncRNA
CAAAACAAACCUGAAACGCAAAGGAUUGCACAUAUUGACCAACCAGCGUCCGGCAGCAGAGCAGAGCAGAGGAAAUAGCGAUCAGACCUCUCUAAUUGAAAACACACGUGGACUGGGAGCCCGCCCCUACCACGGCAAGGUCGUCGAGGCUUAGAGGGUGUGUCUCUACUGCCUCGGCGUUCAUGCUGUCGCCUUCCUGAUGUGGAGCAGAGGAUAUGUUGUGAGGUGCAUGUCAGCGACCGGGCGGACCCGUUUGAUGGAAACGAGGUGCUGUGUUGGAGCACAUUGAUCAAGCGGUUCACAGUCCCAAUGUGUCCCAGCAAUGCACAUUAUCUUCUCUUUUUAUUGUUCUUUACUGGUUAAUUCACUCUUCAGAUGGUCUAUUCAUUAACUAAAAGACCUAUGGCUGGAUGAAGGUAUGGGUUCACGCCGAUGUGGAGGAUUACUUUAAUCCAGUACGGUUCAAAUUAACUACGACCUCAUCUCAGGGCAUUCCUCUUUUACAUAGAGGAAUACAUUGGCUUGAAUUUUCUAUUGCUUUCAAUUAGUCCUGUUUGUUUUGUUUUAUUCUGUUG